rnacentral:rRNA from 1 species
GACGAACGCUGGCGGCGUGCUUAACACAUGCAAGUCGAGCGGUAAGGCCCUUUCGGGGGUACACGAGCGGCGAACGGGUGAGUAACACGUGGGUGACCUGCCCUCAGCUCUGGGAUAAGCCUGGGAAACCGGGUUCUAAUACUGGAUAUGACUCCAUGACGCAUGUUGGUGGGGUGGAAAGCCUUGUGCGGCUGAGGAUGGGCCCGCGGCCUAUCAGCUUGUUGGUGGGGUGANGGCCCUACCAAGGCGACGACGGGUAGCCGGCCUGAGAGGGCGACCGGCCACACUGGGACUGAGACA